UCGCUCUUAAGUCAGUGGAGAACUAUCUUCAUACUUUCCUGGGUCUGAGAUGCGUUUGUCUGGGUUGCAAUGGGCAUGAAUAAAGACUCACCCAUUUUUUGUUAAAGAAUAACUAGAUAAUCUAGCCUCUGAGGGGGUGACAGCUGGACUCAACUGAUGAGAAGAAGUGAACCAAGCAAAGACUUGAGGGAAGUCAACUCCAGGCACAGCAAAGGAUGAGUGCAAAGGCUAUGAGCUUGAUGCAAAAGACCACAGUGACCUUAGCAGAUGUGUGAAGACAGCAGAGCCACAAGACUGAAAGAACCGCGAUUACUGAAUCACA